GGAAGUAGCCGCCCAGCUUUGCUCCAGCGCUGUGAGUACAGACUCUCCGGCCUGGGCAACCCGCGGUCAGUAAACCACUAGGAGUCUGACCUCAUGGAGGCAGGACGCCCUCUCUCGAGGCGGGGAAAUUUGUGGUGGUUGGAGGUGGCAUCGCGGGUGUCACCGGUGCUAAGCAGUACAUUGUAACAGGAGAUGGCAGUCAGUAUGUGUAUAAGAACUUUUUGUGCUGGAGCUAAACCGAAAUUGAUACACGAAGGAAAUCCUUUUGUAUCAGGAACCCAGGAUACAGACAGUGCUCAGAGGUAUGGCCUACAUAAUUGACCAAUGAAAAGAUAUACAGCUGCGAUUUCAUGGUCAGUGCUACAGAAGUUACUCCAAAUAUAGAACCUUUUCUCUGUAGCAACAAUGUAAGGUGAAGUUUUUUUAUGUCCUGCUGUGAAUAUUUUUAAAAUACUGUAUUUAUAAGAUUUCUAACUCCCAAGCAUAAAUAACUGUUCCUUGCUUUAGUGUAAAACUGUAACUUAAGGAAGGUGAAAACAAUUUGGGUCAUAUUCGUGUUUGGAUUUGCAGUUAUUCCUUACUGCCUAAAGUCCUUAAGCAGCUAACAUCCCAGCAUAGAUGUCAUCGUUGAUGGGACAUAAUGCACAGUUCAUUUGUCUAAAGGUUGGUAAGAGACUGACACCUAUGGAUUCUUACAAGUGAUUCUUUUGGAGAAAUGCUAAAUGCCUUUUAGCAUUUAAAGCUCACAAAACUGGAAUAUUGUAAUUAUGAGUGGGGUAGUCACGGUUACUGAGUGUUCCUGAUGUUGAAAGUCUAAAAAUUUUUGAGUUGGUCUGUCUUAGUAGCAUUUUGAUCCCCUGGAAAUUGAGCUGAGUUAUCUAAACUUACAGCUAUUAUUUACUUUCUCAUUAAAGAUCAGCAUACCAAGGUGUACAAAUGUGACUUGUUCUUUUACUUUAGAAUGACAAAGCCAUCUUUCACUUUUCUUCCCAUGUGUUCUCAUAAGGAACAUUGUUUAGUUUGAUCUAGGCGAAGAUGGUGGCCUGAAAGUGGAUGAUCACAUGCACACGUCUCUCUCUGAUAUCUAUGCUGCAGGUGACAUCUGCACUGCGUCAUGGCAGCCCAGCCCAGUGUGGCAGCAGAUGAGACUGUGGACCCAGGCUAGACAGAUGGGGUGGUACGCAGCCAAGUGCAUGGCUGCAGCUACUUUAGGAUACUCUAUUGACAUGGACUUCAACUUUGAACUUUUUGCUCAUGUAACAUUUUUCAACUAUAAGGUUGUACUACCAGGAAAAUACCACACAUGGGGCUGAGGUUCAGAUCAUGAAUUAAUGCUGAGAUGUACCAAAGGACAAGAACACAUCAAAAUCGUCAUACAGAAUGGGAGAAUGAUGGGAGCUGUCUUAAUUUUAAAUCAUAUGGAUCUUUCAUCAUAUGAAGAAGGUCUGCUAGAUCCAAAUAUUGAUAUACAUUAUUUUGAUUAAAAAAGGCAUUUCAAGAAUUACAUAAAGUUCCAAGUAACACAAGAAAGUCACAAUAAGACGAGAGUAUUUCAUGCAUAAGAGUCAUUGGUUUUCGACAUCUGCUACAAACAUAGACUUCUCAACCAGUGUUGAUCACAACCAAUAUUGUGAUGGCAGGGUGCAUCACAAACUAGACAACACUAAAAUGGAUUUUUCAUGUUCUAAAAGAUUCCUGCCUGUCUCCUGUGUUCAUCUGGACCCAGCACAGUGCCAUUUAAAGCAUCCCAUAAGCUUUAAUGUAUUUUUUCAUUAUAUAAAGAGUCAGUUACCUUGAAA